GUCGCGGCCGCCUCCGUACGCCGGAGCGGGGGCGUGGCGCCCGUAGUCACCCCCGCCGUACCCGGCCGGCGCGGGCGCGUGGCGCCCGUAGUCGUCCUCGCGCCCCCCACCGUAGGCCGGGGCGCGGCCGCCGUAGUCGUCCUCGCGCCCCCCACCGUAGGCCGGGGCGCGGCCGCCGUAGUCGUCCUCGCGCCCCCCACCGUAGGCCGGGGCGCGGCCGCCGUAGUCGUCCUCGCGGCCGCCACCGUAGGCGGGGGGCGGGGCGCCGUAGGCGACGUCGUCGGGGCGGCGGCCGUAGGACGGGGGAGGGGCGCCGUAGGGGUCGGGCUCUUGGCGGCCGUAGGGGGCGGGGGGGCGGCGGUCGUCGUCGUCGUCGUCGCGGCGGCCGUGGCCGUGGCCGUGGCGGUGAGGGAACUCCAUGAUUGAUUGGCCUGUCGGUGGUGGUGGUCGGGACUCGGGAAAUGGGAACGCGGGGGGGUGGUGGAGGUGGAUCCGAUCCGAGCCUAAAUAUGUCGCGUCGCCGGAGUACAUGUCGACGGGCGGGUGAGGUGAGCGCGCGACGUGGCGCCAAUGGGACGCGCUCGCACGACCGACCGACCGACCGGCCGGGCCGAUUCAAUUUCGCAACUGGGCGAUGGCGAUCGGUGGAUCGCCACGUGCACAGCUUUGCACUACACACGUCGCGGAUGGUGGAAAAAUCGUGGUCGUAUCUCAUCCGUUGUUUCUUUUCCUUCGGAUGCCGCGGGAGAUCGGAUCGUAUCAAGCCAAACCAGUCAAGUACCAGCUCAACAAAAAUCAACCGAGCACUCAAUUAUUGCUUGAAUUUCAAGAAGAAAAAAAGGGAAAAGGAGAAUUCGAUGUGGUGUGUACGCUGUGGCCCAAUGGUGCAGCUGCGAGUUCUGAUUUCUUGUUUGAUUGGGGUUGCAUGCGCGGAGGCAGCGGGCGCCAGACGGCGAAUCCUAUUUGACGCUGCAAGCGUCGGUUAAAGUGUAUUUUUCUUAACUGACGCCUGCAGUUUUCGGUCAUGGCCGACCCUUCGGGAGGCGGUUUUUCCGUCUUUGUGAAGGUUCCGCAAGCUUUCUAGAUGGAUUUUCUUAUUUAUGUUUUUUAGGACUGGUUCUUCUUUGGUUUAUCUUUUUUUCUUUAUUAUUUUUAUUACUUUUUCAUUUUCGUUUUAAUAUUUAUAUAAUUUUUACUUUUUGAAAAACGCAGCCAUUUCUUGAUUAACUUUUUCUCAAACGAACAAAUAUUUUUUCAGAUCAAUGAACCUUUUUCAGAAUUAUAUGUUCUUUUAUUAAAAUUCUAUGAACAUUUGUGAAUAUCGAUGAACUUUUUUCAAAUUAUGAUGAACGUUUUUCUGAUUGAUGAACUUUUUGAAAUGGAUGAACCUUUUUAAGAAUUGUGAAAAAAAAUUCAGUUCAACAAUUUUUUUAAAAAAAAAUCAAAUUCAUGAACUAAUUUUCAAAAUCCGUUAACUUUUUAAAAAUGUGAGAAGUUUUUUUUCAGAUCACAAUGAAUUUUUUCAAAUUCGUUAACUUUUUGUUUCAAAAUUGGUGAACCAUUUUUCGCUUUUAUGAACCUUUUAUGUUCUUUUUUUUUUGGUUUUUAUUAUAAAAAACCCACCUUGAGCCUGGGCCGGCCCGUUAUGCACGGUGUGUGGGCGCUAGUUCUCCUAGCUGGCGCUUAAGGCGCCGCCUCGCCGCUAUGAGCUCCCGGGCCAUACCCCCCCCCCCCACCCAAGGAACUAGUAGUAAUAUAUUGGCUUAAUUAUACGAUGGACUUAAUCCACUUGUUGACUCGUACCUGCUAAUCGAUCCACACGAUCAACGAUACGCACACACUAAUCCAAUUUGAUGUUAUCGACUCUUUCCUCGGCGACGCACCAGUCGCUAGGGUUUCAUUGACGCCGCCGUGCUGGUCGCCGGUUGUCGCGUCGGGCCGCCACCGCCGACCCGCUGUGCUCCGCCCGUCAUCGACCGUGCUGCCGCCGACCAUGCAUCAAUCGAGUACAGAGAGUCCACACAGGCUAAGAAGUUGAACGGCGCUGCCGCAAGCCCACACACAAUCCCUAACCGAUGCUGUGCAGCUGUGUUGUGAUCAGAAGACGAGGUCUUGAUGUAAUGUAAGGUGUACAAUUGUCUAGUGUCUACAGACCAGGUUUCAUAUUAUUGUGGUUGUCACUUGUUGGUUUGAUUCAUUCAAUAGAUCAAUUAAUCAAUUGUUAGUACUUAGUAGUUAGUAAUAAUUUAUUUUGAUACUUGUGAGAUCAAUUACAUAUUUUCUUUUUACUUAAUGGAAGAACUGAAAACUGCAUAGGUCAUGAAUAAGAGGAAGACAUCACCGAUAAGUAAUGGUUUCAACCAAUUGCUACAAACUCUAACUCUGCGAUUGAAAAUGCAAAUGCAAGUGUCAAGGUAGAUGUCACACAGCAACCCACUGGUCAUAAUGUCCCCAAUCUCAGUUCAGUUGAUAUGCCACCCCCCGAGCAAAAUAUUCAGGUAUCUGUGGAAGUUCUAGAACAGCAAAGAAUUGGAAGCACACCAUUUGAGCGAGACCCUGGAAAGCGCAAAUAAAUUUGGGAACUCCCUCUUGAGAAGCAAAAUGAAGCACCUUGAUCGUAAAUCUCUCGAAAACUCGUCACUAUAGCUUAUCUGUGGUGGCACCAAUACUGUUAGAGAUUGGAGAGCUAGUUUCCUCUUUUUCUUCCUUUUACAUUUAACAUGUAAAUCCGUCAUCCAACGUACCGGGCCAUCUUUGUGCAAAGUUUGCUUGCACACUGACGGUCAUCGAAAGUUGGAUGGAUUUGAGACCCUCUUUCCUGCUCAUCAGCUUAUUGAUUGAUGAUGCCAGGAGGCAGGAGCUCUUUUGUUGAAUAAAGCUCUCUGACUGGAACACAAAAAAAGACACAACCAUUCAAAAAUGAUUGUGACAUUUACAAAAGUAUUCACGCUCUUCAAACAUAUGUUCACAACAUUUUCAGGAAAUGUCUAUACAACAGUAAAGAAAGUUAUGUAACUUCAAAUAAAUUGUACUACCAUUAAAAAAACUUUGUGUCAUCAUAAAAAAGGUUCACACGUUUCAAAAACAUGUUCGUAUUGUUUUUCUACAUAUGUUCGUACCAUUCAAAAAAUGUUUGUGACAUUGAGAAAAAUGUGCAUGUGUUUCGGAAAAAAUGUUGUUGAUUUUUUUAUACAAAUGUAAAAAAAAGUUUGCUUAGUUUAGAAGAAAAAAUAUUAUACCAUAAAAAAUAUGAUCAAAUAUGUAUUCCAAAAAAGUUGGACACGUAUUCAAAAAAAAUGUUCAAAGCAUUUAAAAAAAAACUAAUGUGUAUCAAAAAUAGUUGCUGAUGUACACAAAAAUGUACAACAUAUAUGAAAAAAUAGACAUGUAUUGAGAAAAUGGGGAAAUAUUAAACGUAUACGAAAUAGACAUCUAUUGUGGCAGUUCAAGACAAUAAUCGUAGUCGUCAAAAGGUUCUUCCUUUGCGACAGCAAGAACAACUUGGUGGGUAAUUUGUCAAUUCUUAAAGCCAUUCAUUCACCAUCACUUGAUUAAUUUGUAACUCAGCUAAUUAGCCACUAGCUACGACUAACAUCACUUGCAUAGCUUGUGGGGCAUCACUUUGCUUUCAGCACAAGAAAGUACUUAUAGUUAAUAAGUUAUUUGAGCUAAGUAGCAAUCCAAUGUGCGACGUGGAGUUUCUCAGCCCGCGCUCAACUGAGCUCGAAUGAACAGUAAAAGUAAAGUGAGAAAAACUGCGGCAAACCUAUUUAGCGUGACAGGCAUUGCUUAAAGGAAAAAGUUGCUAACCGGCGCCUGCAGGGCUCCGUAAUGGGCGGGCCCAUGUUGAGAUCCUUCAUGAACUUUUUUUAGCCUGUGAAAUGUUUUAGCCCGUGAUCUUUUUUUGAAAUCGGUAAACUUUUUUGAAAAUCAAUGAUAUUUUUUGGAAAUUCAUGAACAUUUCUGAAAAUCAAUGAACAUAAUUUAAAAUUCAUGAUUUUUUUCAAAAUCAGUGAAAUAUUUUUAAAAAUUGAUGAACUUUUUCAAAAUCAGUGAACUGUUCUUAAAAAUUGAUGAACUUUUUUCAAAAUCAAUGAUUGUUUUUUCGAAUCUUUAAACUUUUUGAAAAUCCAUGAAAAUAUUUUUCAAAAAUAGGUGAACAUUUUCAUAAUAAUUGAACUUUUUUGAAAAUCUGAACUUUUUAAAAUUCUGUGAACUUUUCUCAAAUUUUUAGUGACCAAGACAUUUUUUACAUGGGAGGAGUGCUUCAGGCGCCGGUUUCCCUAACUGGCGCUGAAGGCGCCAAAUACGAGGGGACUUCCUAUACCGUACCUUCAGCGUCCUCUAAGCCAAUUGGCGCUCGAUGUACCUUCCUAUACCGUCCUAUUUAAACUUUUUAAAAAUCCAUGAACAUAUUUUUCAAAAAUAGGUGAACUUUUUUCAUAAUAAUUGAACUUUUUUGAAAAUCUGAACUUUCUAAAAUUCUGUGAACUUUUCUCAAAUUUUUAAUGACCAAGACAUUUUUUACAUGGGAGGAGUGCUGCAGGCGCCGGUUUCCCUAACUGGCGCUGAAGGCGCCAAAUAGGAGGGGACUUCCUAUACCGUACCUUCAGCGUCCUCUAAGCCAAUUGGCGCUCGAUGUACCUUCCUAUACCGUCCUCUUUAAACUUUUUGAAAAUCCAUGAAUAUAUUUUUCAAAAAUAGGUGAACUUUUUUCAUAAUAAUUGAACUUUUUUGAAAAUCUGAACUUUCUUAAAUUCUGUGAACUUUUCUCAAAUUUUUAAUGACCAAGACAUUUUUUACAUUGGCUGGCCCAUGAGGAGGAGUGUUGCACGCGCCGGUUUCCCUAACUGGCGCUGAAGGCGCCAAAUAGGAGGGGACUUCCUAUACCAUACCUUCAGCGUCCUCUAAGCCAAUUGGCGCUCGCUGUAUCGAAUUCAUGGGCCGACCAACGACGCGCAACACAAGCGCAAAAGUCCUAAAAAAUGAUGGGGAUUGAUCUGCGACGGCGCGCUGGCCCAAACUUUUGGCCGGCCGCGCGCGAGCGGCAGGAUCCACCAACCCCGCGUCGUCCGCACCAUUGGAUCCGCAUGCAACAUUUUUUUUUCCUAUGCAGCAAAAUUUCGAUUCGAUGCGAUGCAGCAAUUUUUUUAACGGUUGCAACAAAAAACAAAAAUUGUGCCAAAAAAAUAUUUACGUGAUCGUAGCAAAAAAAUAAAGCUGAUGGUACGUGGUAGCAAAAGUCAAACGCCGAUUGUAACAAAUAUUUAUGUGACGUGUAUGCAACUUUUUUAGUGAACAGUUGCAGCAAACAUGAUGCCGGUUGUAGCAAAAAUUAACACGGUUGUAGCAAAAAGUAAAAAACAUCGAUUGUAACGAAAAAUCCAACGAACUGGUGUUGCAACCAAACGUAUAUGCAGCUUUUUUACUGAAACAAAAAAUAGUAAAAAAACGCUUGCAGCAAAAAUGACGCUGGUUGCAACAUAUUUAGACGAAAAAUGUUGCAUCCAUUGACCAGAAAAGCGCGCGGGUGGAAAAAAUGUUGCAAGGACCCGCGCGCGCGAGGGGAUGACCGGCGCGCGGGUGGGAAACGAUUCCCAAGAAUGAUUGGGGCUUUGACUCGAACUCAGGUCCUCUCAUUCCUACAUCUUCUCUGCUAACCACUAGUCCUAGAAGCUAAUAGUAAUCAACUGAACCUCAAAAAUAUUUAAGAAUACUCUAGCCACGUAGUUCCAAAAUCUGAAAGUUCACAUAUUUUUAAAAAGUUCACGAUUGUUUUCUUAAAAAAGCCUCACGUAUUCGAAAAACAAAAUCACGAAAUUGAAAAUUCAUUAAUUUGAGAAUAAAAUUUCACAAAUUUUCAAAAAAAUCUCUAAUUUAAGAAAAGUUUGUAAGUUUGAAAAACGUUAACAGAUUUGAAAAUGUUCACAAGAUCCACAUAAGUUCACCAAAUUGUUAAAAAAAUUCAAGAAUCUUUAAAAAGUUCCAUCAAAUUCGAAAAAAGUUCAUCAAUUUUGAAAAAAGUUCAACGGAUUUCAAAACAAGUUCAUUGAUAUUUUUUUUUUAAGUUCAUCGAAUCUGCAACAGUUUUAUCAAUUUAAAAAAAGUUCAGUGUAUUUUCAAAAAAGUUUAUCAUUUUUUAUAAAUAUUUUGAACAAAAACUUGGAAAAGGUUCAUUGGAUUCGAAAAAGGUUCACCGAAUUUUGAAAAUUUCAUCAAGUUUAAAAAUAGUUCACCAUUUCGUAAAAAGUUCACAAAUUCAAAGGAAAAAAAUCAUCAAUGUUGGAAAAAGUUCAUUGGUUUUUCUAAAAAAAGUUCAUUGUAUUUGAAAAAGUUUGUCAAAUUUGAAAGAAGUUCACUGAACUAGGAAAGAGUUCAUCAAAUUUUAAAAAUUGUGGAUGGAUUAAAAAAUAAACGACUAAGAAAGAAGGAAAAUUAAAAAGAAAAUAAAAACAAAAACAGAAAACAGAUAAAAGGAAAAAUGAAAAAAGAAGAAACAAUGAUAAGGUAAAAAUGACGUAUGUUGACACAUCAAGGAAUGUGGUUACCACUCUUCGCACCGAGCUAGGAGAUCCUGGGUUCGAAUCCUACUCCUUUCCAAUAUUUGAAUGAACAGACAGACGUAAAUGGGCUAACCGGCGCCUGCAGCAUUAAAUAGGAAAUGCCGAAAUGACGAAUAGGAGGUCCCAAAAAACUGUGUGUGCCUGUGCUAGAUUGGGUCAGGCGCAUGUCUGCCUCGCGCACUAGGCUUGGCCCAUCAUCGGUGUGCUUGAGACGAGGAAGUCUUAAGCGAGACAUAGAGGCUCUCACGAAGUAUAGCAUUGUGGACUGGAGUAGAAUAUAGUUCUUUUAAGCUAAGCCUAACCCCCUUUAUGGCCCAAUACAUAUAUAAACACUACACACUCUGUGCCGGCCUACAUGCACUGACCCGAACUUGUACUCGAUCUGGUCAUGGCCCACAAAAUUGGAUCAUUCUACGUUCGAUUCUCCUUUUCUGCUGAAAAAAAUGCAAGACAAUAGAGCAUUUUUUAGGAAGCAAUACCACUAUAUAUGUUGUCAUUGCAACAAUCUAUUAUAUUAAGAGCAUCUACACCCGGACCCCUCAUACAUGUCUCAAACGCCUCGACAGGCCGUCCGACCAGUGAUCGGUCACAAAAACGCGACCCAACCGAACCUCUUAAAUCCGUCUCAAACGCCCGAGCUGACCGGCACUGCUCAUAUCCGGCCCAAAUAUAGGGCUGAUAUGGGGCGGUCCGGUCACACCGGGUGUGUCUGCCCGGUAAGCCCGGUCCAACACUGACCCCACCGUUGUCCCACAAAAUCCCCACUUUGGCCGCCUCGUUCCGAACUCUAGCUCACUCUCUCUCGCUCUGUCCCCUCCUCCCCCUCUUCGAGUAUGAUCCCAUCGUGUCCAAUGUCGAUCUCCGACAGCCGCUCCGGCUCCGACGGUCGCUCCGGCUCCAACGGCUCGGACAUCGACCCCGAGGAGUUGGCCCUCCGCAUCGCCUUGGAGCGCGGUCCAAGGUGGAGACGGCCGGAAGCUCCGGAUCUAGCGCUUAGCCACUGGUCCCGCGUCGACGGAUCUAUGACAUCGAAGCGGGACCCUCCCGGCACGCGAGCAGCUCCGUCGGGACUGCGUCCGCACCUGCCCUGCGUGCUGCCCUUUCCCCGCCGGCCGCUCCUCCACGCGGGCAUCAUUGGGUCCUAGUACCCGCACCAUUGGCCUGCACGGGCACUCCGGAAUCGGAGGCGCGCACCGCCCACCGUGAGAGGCAGCGGGCAAGGGAGAGGGAAACAAAGCAGUCUGUGCGCCACCGUCGCGAGAUGCCGGCUGAGCCCGACAAGGACGAACGCCUCCUCGCAUGGGUGUACCUCGGGUCCCUCACGACGGCAGAGACGAGUGUUCGACACCUUCGUCAGAAGAACGCCAAGGCGUUUCAGCUUGCUAUUGAGCAGUCGGAGCGCGAAGCGAAGGAGCUAGCGGAGGAGAAGGCUCGACUCGCCAAGAUGAAGCGGGAGCAGUACAGGGCCGUCCGUCGGAUGAAUGGCCUCAUCGUCUUCUUGGACUCGGACUCUGACGACGGCAACAACGACACCUCGCCCUUUGACCCUCCGCCAGCCACGAACGGCUACAACUGCGUCGACGACCCACAGGGCAAAGGGCCAGCAAGGAAGUGGUGAUCUGCCCCCCCCCCUCUACGCAUUAUUUAUAUACUCCCUCCGUCCCAAAAUUCUUGUCUUAUUGUCUAAAAAUGGAUGUAUCUAAGUACUAAAACAUAACUAGAUGCAUUCAUAUCUAUACAAAUGUAAGACAAGAAUUUUGGGACGGAGGGAGUAGUUUUUAGUUGUAGUAACGUAAGAAAUUUGUCCGAUGAACUUGAGAUGAUCUUGUGGCUGAUGUUUGAUGUCCGUUUGAAGUUGAUUUUGUGUUUGUGCGUUUUUGAUUUUGUUGUCCUAUGUUUUUUCACGUACAAUAGCUCAACGUUGCGUGGGUAGUACGGAUAUGGGUGUCGGAUAUAAGACAAGCGGAUGUGAAAAGGAAAAUAUGAAACGCGUCUGGCCAGUGUACGAGACGCGACCGUUUGAGGGGUUAGAUUUGCAAGUUACGACUAUAGAUGCUCUAAAUACUAUCUUUCCUGGUUAAAAAGACACUUAAGGCCCCUCCCCACUUCACCUAUGUCUUCGGUUUUGCCGAUUCUUCUCAUUGAUUUUUCUUAAAAGACACCUCAACUGUCUCAUGUAUUUUUAUAGCUUAGCAAAUAAAAUUAUGUUUUCGUUGGUAUGUCUAUAGGUGCUAGUUUAAUUGACAGUCGAUAUAUUAGCAGUUAUGGCGAAGCCACAAGUUCAAAGUUAUGAUCUCAAUUCAUAAUUGUGACCAAAUACGUGUGUUUAUAUGAUUUUUUUUCUUUCUUGAUUUCUACUUAUAUGUGUUGCUUUUGCACAAAUACUGUAUAGUCAACUGACUACACAGAACACAUGUGGAGUCGUCAUUGUGUAAUCACACUUACACACUAUCAAUAAAAUGACGGGUAAAUCAUGAUGAGUGCGUGCAAAAUAUUUAUGCCUCGUUGCAACACCAACCAUUAUCUAAUAGUAGUAGUUAAGAAACAAUAUCCCUGGUCCUCAAAAGGUUCUCCCUUUGCGGCAGCAAGCACAACUUGGUCAGUAACUUGUCAACUCUCAGAGCCAUUCAUGCAUCAUCACCUGAUUAAUUAUUAUUUUUAACGCAAUCACCUGAUUAAUUAAUAACUGGUGAGGGUAUAUCCGUACACAUGCAGCUCAGCUAAUUAGCCACUAGCUGCGGUUGACAUCACUUGCAUAGCUUGUGGGGCAUCACUUUGCUUUCAGCACAAGGAAGUGGUUAAUUAAUCACUUAUUUGAGCUAAGUACCAAUCCAACGUGUGCUUUUGCUUCGUCUUAGGAAGCAGGUUAUGGAGCUGUCUCGUUGAUACCUAGCUACUUGGCACUUGCAGUGGUCAAACACUUGGUAGAAAACAUUUUUUAAUUUUGAGCGUGUUCAUUCUGAUGGAUCGAGAUAGCUUGACCCCUUCAAGUUAUAUGUAAUAAUGCACAUCGAUUGUACAAGCAAAAGGCCGAUUUAAUAUACUCAUGGCAUUAUAUUACUCCGUUGCAUUACGUGAGAGAAUUCUCAAUGAUGAGUGCCAUGCAUGCACAAGGUGAAAAAACAACAAAAACAAUGAAGCGUGCAUGGUUGAUCAAGGUAUCAGUUUACCAUCCCAUUGUUUUUUUUAUCUACCGGUGGUCUACGAAUUCAUAUGUGCUAGUAUUCAGUUGGUAUAACCAUAAUCAGCGAAAAAUUCGAUGGGGCAUCAUGUAUCCGCAGCUUAGUUAUACGCAUACAUACGUAAAAUAUUCAACCCAUGCUACAAAAAAUACUUUUAUCCAUGUGGCAAUCUUGCAUUGCUCCAUAUAUAAUUUCUCAAAUAAAUUGCUAAGAUAUAUUUAAUUAUUAGAUACACGCAUGCCUAUAUGGUUGUUUAAUUACCUUUCACAACAUUUAGUUACUUUUUGUCAAUAACAUUUAACAAAUGUACAACUUGUACUAGUAAGUACGUACAACAAACAAAAUGUAGAUAUAUUGUUACCGCGACGCAUCGCUCAUAGGAGUGGACACGAAAUAGAUAGUGAUAUUGGGCAUUGCUAUUUUCUCCUUAUUGAAUUAAUAUCACAAUUGAUUCGUGUGUACAAAAUAUGAGCAUGACGCCGAGCAGUUGAGUGGCCCCAAUGUGAAUUUAUUUCUAACACCACCUACACCCCAAAUCUAAUGUUGUUAUUCAUGACCAAGUAAUCUUAUUAUUUAUGUGCCUCGUGAGUUUGCUCUUCAUAUUCGGGUUUGCAUUUGUGCAAAUGUGAGCUUCAUUAUCUUCAUGUAUGUAGAUCCGGGUUCCCUCUGCUAUGAUACCAAUUGUAGGAAACCUACUAUGUGAUGGCUUUGAUACCCAUAAUACUUGAGAACCUUCACACUCUCAAAUAAUGGGGAUAACUCGAUCUUUUAUUCACAACCACUAAUAGAAAAACUACUUUACGUGAGAUACAUUAGUCCCUGUUUGUAAACGGACGGGCACUAAUGUGACCAUUAGUGCCGGUUUAAACGGCUAGGGAGGCGCGCAUCAUUAGUCAUGAUUCGUGUUGAACCUCUAGUACCGGUUCGUGACACGAACCGGGACUAAUGGAGUGGUGACAGGCUGGUGUCUGCCUGCUUCAACUCAUGAUACUUGGUACAAACUUUAUUGGUGUCUACCUGCCAUUCUCAUUCAUAGCGGGUCCUACUACUACCUUGGUUCUCUUUCUACCUUGCUUAGUUUGGUUUAUCUUAGGAGGGGAGUCCAUCCCUAUCUAGAGUUGCACAUGACCAUUAGAUUGAUGGCAGGUGGCAACCAUCCAAAACCAAUGCAGUCAUUGCUCUCUGAAUAACCUAGAAAACACCCUACAAAUAUCUUAUAUCUAGUGUUCUCUUUAAUUUGCCACAUAAUUUAUUCAAACAUUUGUUCUAGAACCACCGAGAGAAAUAACAACUCAUGUGUAUUAAUAUCCAAAUGAUCUAGAAGUUUCUUAUCUUUGAGAUGAAUAACUUCUCUAGUAUCCUCCAUGGCAAAUAUCUUGACGUUCUCGAUUCUUAGAAAUAUCUUCAGUGACCCAAGUAUGCAUUGCAUAUUAUCAACAAUAGGAAAUCGAUAGAGUAUCUCAAGAAUGUAAACAACUAUCGGCUAUGGCAUGUCACCGUAUGAGGCCAAAUGGUGUGCAUAUGUCAACAUAGGGAGGAUAUCUAGUGGCCAAGCACUCCCGGUGCUGCCAAUGCACAAAAUCACCAUUCUAUUACUUUCUUUUUUCUUAAAAUGUUAAGUGAGUCAAUAAGAUAUGUUUGUACAAUGUGUGAAAUUUUGAAAUCAAUUCAACCUACAUAUGAUGGAGAAGCAAAAAUAAAUAAAUAAAUAAAUAGAAAUUCAGCCAUGAUGGUGUUUGUAUUUUGAUUUUUUAUAAUAUUCAUAGUUGGAUUUAUCUUUUUCGAGUAAGAUGUUUUUAUCCUCUAUCUACAUACUCCCCCUGUUCCAAAAUAAUUGUCUUAAUCUUGUACUAAUCUUAGUAUAAAAUUAUACUAAUUUUGAGAUACUUAUUUUGUGACGGAGGAAGUGGAAUUUUGUGGUGCCGACCUCUUAGGUGGGACACACACAUGCUUCCAUCGAUGUCCAUGCAUAGGAUGAUGGGAAUAUCAGCAUCUGUCAUUUUUUUUCUAACUGUUUUUACUUCUUCCUUUUUCCAACUAGCUUAGCCUAUCAAUUGCUUGUUCGUGUACAUACUUGUGUGUCUCUCUCGAUAAACUUGUCGUUCCUUGGGUGCGAUGACUUCGCAAGGAAUCCAACCUUUCUACCAGUAAAAAAAAAAAAGACAAGCCAUUGCUCUCCUCUUUAUUUUAAAGUACAUGCACUUCAAUUAUGCACGUCUCUUCCCCCUAACACGAGCAUGCAUUAUAAGUUGCUACUAUUCUAUAAGCUCCAAUUGAUUCAUCCAAAGUCCAAGAUUUGGUUACAAUAAAUAAGGAAAGUAAUUUUAAACUAAUACGAAUUUUAUUCAAUGAAUGUUCACAAUUUACAUCCUAGUUCACCCUACAUAUACAUACAUAUACACACAAGUUAAACAUGCAUCUACAAUCAGUUCUACCUAUCUUGUGACAUAAUUGUGUUCUUCUUCUACUCCGGCCUAUAAUAUCUUACACUAAUCAAUUAACUUUACACAAUAUACGGUACUAAUUUAGCCUGAUCUACAAAUUAUGCAUGAGUAAUAUCCCCCUCGAUCCAUUGAUCGACCGGCAUCAAUAGUGAAUAAUUGAUUAAUAUGUCUGCAGUCAAAUCGCUAGCUAGCUUUCUCCUAGCCCUAAUUAUCAAGGUAGCAUGCAUGGAUCAUAUCCUGUCCUGCUGGGAAGGCUGGUCUGGCCCAAAUAUGGAGAAGCCGCCGUUCAUCAUCGUCAUGGACCCAUCGCUACCCAACCACCUCUUGGAAGCGUGCAACGACGACAUUUCACCAUCGUUAUUGCUGUCCGCCGUCGCCUGCCUCUUCCGCGCCGUGCUGGCCUCGCCGUCGCUGGCCCCAGCAGUGGUGCCGAGGAAGAACUGGCCGACGGAGGUUGCAAUCUCCGGCUGUGGCGGCGGCAUGCUGUCGAAGAGCUCCGAGACGGCUGAGUAGUCCACGAGGUAGUCGGAGAUGGACGGGUUCCUCGGCAGCAUCCGGGAGGAGGAGGAGGUGUCCUCUUGCUGCUGAUGUUGCUGCUGCUGCUGCUGCUGCUGGUGGUGGUGGUGGCCGUGGCCGAGGCCGAGGGUGGCGUCCAUGGACGACGGCGACGGCGACGGCUCGUAGAAGGGCGACAGCUGCUGCGGGUUGGGCUUCUUGUAGAUCCUGCACAGCACCCAAUCAUCCAGCUGCACGCACACAAGAAGGUGAAUCAGUGCCACACACGUGUGUGCAUGUAUGUUGCAACAAACGGUCGCUUGCUAAGCUUGACAGGUAGUUGGUGCUGGUUAGCUAGUAGGUUGUGGCUUGUAAGGUAAUAGUGCAAGUCUCUUUCUUAGGGAAGGAAGAUCCCAGCGGUGAAAGAAACUAUAGCUAAUAGGACGGACAGUGGCUUCCUAGCUCAUUGACCAGGUUAGUUGCUUGCUCGAGCUCAACUCACUGACAUCCACGCACACGCAACUAAUAAGAAGAGAACAAAAGAUUCCUAGCUAGCUCCAACGAGAUGCCUUCCUCGUUAAUUUGCAGCCGCAGAAAACAUGCAUAUGCAUGUGUGAUCAAUCAAGAAGAAAUAAUAAAGCAUGAAAUUACCGAGUACAACAAGAUGAUGGAGAGAGCCAUCGCAAAAAAAGAAAAAAAGAAAGAUGAUGGAGAAAGAGUUGUGCAUGCAUGCGUACCCUCAUGGAGGACGAGGCCUUGAACCGCGUGGGGGGCCGGUAUGUGUGCGCGGCGGCGGCGGCGGCGGCGUGGGCGUCGGCGAGGCGGUACUCGUGCAUGAUCCAGUUCGUCUUGUGCCCCUUGGGCGGACGGCCCUGGUAGAACACGAGCGCCUUCUUGACGCCGACCAUCUCGCCGCCGGGCACGCCGCCGGCCGUGAUGGGCUUGUCGGUGCCGGUGGCCUUCCAGUAGCCCGACCCGGCGGCGCGGUUGGGGCGGACGCCGUUGGGGUACUUGCGGUCGCGGGGGCUGAAGAAGUACCACUCGUCGUUGUCGCCCUCGAACACCGCGCGGGACGGCAGCUCCCACGGGUCCAGCUUGUAGAUGUCCACCUCCGCGAUGACGGCCGCCGGGCACGGCGCCGCGGCCGCGCGCCUGCGGAGGUAGUGCACGAUCAGCUCCUCGUCCGUCGGGUAGAACCGGAACCCCGGCGGCAGCCCCGUGCCCGCCGGCGCCGGGAGCGACGUCGGCCUCGUCUGCAGCUCGAUCGUCAUCACACACACCCGAUCGAACGCUCGGUCAGGGGCUCAAGGCGGCGAGGGAAGGGAAGGGAAGGUGGGUCGAGAGUCGAGACGGAGGAGAACUGAAAUUUUCGGAGGUGGAGGCGACGGGUGCGGUUAUAAAGGCGCCGAGGUGCUCCGGCGCAUGGCAGGCUCUUGUAAUUCUUGGCCGCCGGUGACGAGAGGGAUGAUGAUUGCAAGGGCCCUGCCGUACGUGCGCGUCCAUCCAUAUCACGUCAUCGGCGCUCGCAGGCUCACGUACUUGGCCAGAAUCUUCAAUUUGUUGGAAUAUUUUCUCUCUUUUUUGUGCCAUGUGAGAACGAGAGAGUGGGGGAAAAUAUAUCCGAAAAAGACAUUAGCAGAAUGAAUGGAUGAAAAUUGUGCAAAUGAUUGGAGAAGUUGGAUAUUCGGCUCGGUUUGUAGGACCGGGAAGCGUUCAUGGCCCAGAGGAAUACCAUAGCACAUGAAUACCAGGUACGGUGUUUUUGUGUGUGUUUUCAUUGACCACGCAGGAAUAGCUACUCCUAUGCAUGCAUGCACUGAUGCACAUGCAUGGUGCCAUUUGCUGCUGGCUGAGACAUUUCAAAGAAAAUUAGUAUUAUUCAUUGCUGAAAUGCAAAGCUCGGAAAAUCAUUGGAGUUGUCAUAGACUACAAACUACAAGUUGAUUGAAUUCAGAUCAAGAUUUUUGUAGGCCCGGGAUUAUCCGAUCUUCAUUUAAUUCUGUUCAUUGCUAAAACGGAGGGACUUAGGAGUAUGCAUGCACAUGCAUUAGAGUCAUCUGCUGCUUAGCUGCUAGCCGAGACAUACAAAAUUAUAUUCCCUGCUGGUAUGCAAAACCAUUGGAGCUGUCUAGACUACUAAUUGAUUGAAGUUGCUUAAAUAUCUCCAUCAAACUCUAAGCAUUCAGAUCAAGAUUUAAUCAUUUUCAUAAAGCGCACGAAGGUUCUACUUGCACAGUUGAAGAGUGAAAUUUAAGAACUGGUAGUGCGCAAUUUGUAGUAACUGAAUCCAAAAGGAAAGGUACCUACGGGCGAGUUCCACUUCAUAAAAGGGGCGGUUUUGGACAAGAUUGACGACUAGUUUAUAUAGCUAUAUAUGUGUAACAAAUUAACAACCAAUAGAACUAUAAUAUUGAUGAAAAUACUCCUUGAUACUAAUCUAACCAUAUGAUUCAUGUUUCAUAUCCAAAUAUAAAAAAAUGAUAUCCAUAGUAAAUCAUUUCAUCGUUUGACAUACAACAUGUAUGUAUUCGUGGCAGUAAGAAUUAGCAAACUAAGAAUCAUUGAAAUUAAUGAAAUCAUUAAAUCACUACAAAUUGCUACCGCCCGAUUGCUAAUUAGAGUACAAACAACAUUAUAGAUCCAAAUAUCCCGCAAAAAAAAGCAUUAUAGAUCCAAAAUAAUGAAACCUCAACUUCAUCAGAGCAUCUCAAUUAACUAGUGUGUUAUGUUGUCAGAAAUUAUAUAUAUUCAUAUCAUCGACUGUAUACAACCACUCCAACAGAGUGUUUCUAAGUUAAUUUGCUCUCUAUUUUGACAUUGGAUCUUAUGCAUGUCUCUGUUACAUUAUUAUAAACCAUACGUUGCCGAUUUUAUGAGCAAUAACCUACCCCGCGGCGGGGAUGGAGGGUGUGUGGUGAUAGACAAACACGGCUAUUGAGUGGUAACAAAAACCCUACUCAUUAUACGACUAAUACAGUAGAUACAGUAGAAGAUCUAAGUUCCAGUAGAUGGUGAGAGAAUCAAAGCUUGCUCUAUUUCCACCUUGGAGCUUGUGCAUAGCAUUAUGGUUCAUCUAAAUACAAGCUUCAUAUAUAUCCUUAUAUUAUUUAGUUUAAUUAUGUGAUGUCACAUAAAUUUUACAUGACAAAUUUUACCCAUGAUCAUGUCACCAAACACCAAAUGCUUGCGAUGCCGCUAGCUAUGAGACGAAAUUAGCUUACACCAUUAAUAUAUCCUUUUUUAGGCCGGAUUUGACUUUUGUGCCUUGUGAUGGGAAUGAUUGGCUUGCGUGCUAAACUGGCUUAGCUAAGCUCUAGGUAGUCCGAAGUCGCUGGAGACUCUGGAGAAAGCUUUUUCGUCUACUCUUACUCCACAAGAAGAAUAUGCACGACCGGGCCAUCACCUGAUCGAUUAUAUGGAUAGUUUAAUCUAUGGAGAAUUCCAUCAAGCCGCGCGACUAUAUAUAUAAUCUUCAAUUAUAUCUGAUUUUGUACAAGGUACUGGUGAACUAUGCACUACUCGAUCGAUUUGCUUGCGUAGGUCAGAUUGAAAAAACAGUGCACAUCAACUCAAUUAUGUAUGUGCAUAGGAUCGAAUGAUUCGCUGGGGAUAUGCCGAUAAACCCUAGGAAGAAGUUAAAGCUAGCUAGCUAGCUACUCCCUCCGUUACGGUUUAGAAGGCACAGUUAAACUUGUGUGCGUUUUUAAAAUAGACAAGGUUUAAACGCGAAAGCAAUUACUCCUAUUAAUUAGUACUAGUACUACUCAUGCAUGCGUCCUCCUAAUUUGUUGCUCACGCAUUAGUACUAGUAUUUUUUCAGUUGAUUAGGCGCAUUAGCAUCUACACCUGCUACAUCUCACAACCAAUCGGUGACUACCUUGGUACCAGAGAUUUUUUCAAACGUGUCUUCUAAACCGUGACGGAGGGAGUAGCAGACAUGGUUUAAGAGUAUACAAAUAAAUCCAGUCUUUUUAUGCAUGCAAGCAUGCAUUAAAGGGCCAGCACUAGCUCUUGUUUUGCACUUUUUUUACGAAUAACUGGCCUCAGCGUAAUUAACAACAUGCAUACAGUCAACACAUCUGAUUUUUAUUAAAACAUCACUUUAAAGGAACCAUAAAUAAGAAGUAGCCUGGGAUAUAUGAGGUCCUAUUCGAGGGUGGGGAAAAACAUUUCUGUAUGCUUCAAUCGAGUGGACACCAUCAUAAAAAGAUACAUAUCUUCCGGCCUCGGACAGACCUAGCUAGUAAGAAGUCAUUGUAUAUUUGUAUACACACAUAAAUAACCUUGAGUAUGGAGGUAGCUACUAGCCAAGUUGAUGAGAUUAUUGUGCAUGUGGUUUCUCUCUUUAGAAAGUGCCUGUGCAUGCAGCUUAACUUCUCCCUCGAAUUAACCUCAUAAGACACUAGCAUAACGUACACAUAAUCAUACUUAUAAGUUAUAAUUAAGCAAACAUAUGCACGCAUGCAUGCCACCAGCAGUACAUACAGUACAAAAUCUAUCUAUCUGAUCCAUUUCGCACGUGCGUGCUUUCAGGGACAGUAACGUUGCACAAGGCGUGACGGCGCCUUCUCUUCCUCCGGCUUAUUAUUACAUGCAUACCAAGGCUGUCCACGUGUACAACACCCGGCCGGCCUGUCAGAGUCUCUCUUACGUGCCGACCAUGGAUGCAUAUAAGCUAUAGCAGGAGCAUCGAUCCUACAGCUAGAUCAUCUUGAGGAGGAGUAGCUUACAUCUGCGUGUACAGCUGGUGCAUGCAACUGGUGGGUCCAUCAUCAUAUGCUGAUGGUUCAGCUAGAUAUACUUUCAUGCAUGCACACGUGUGUGUAGGUGCUCGAGCGGGUCCCGUCUAAUUCUUGUUAUGAAAAGGAUGCAGAGGGAGGGAGGGAGACUAGUCGCCGAUCAUGACAUCCACUCGUGCUAUGCUGGCUACUUCUACCCAUCUCAUACACGGUUUGGCAUGCCAAACACUGCUAGGACUUUUUUCUAUAUAUAUCCUUGCGUACUUAAUCAUAUCUCGAAAAUCGAUGCAUAUAUGGCAUAUAUACAUGCAUGCGCAAAGGAAAGUCUUUUUAGUUUUCAAACGAUAAAUGUCACAAGUGUGACAUGAAAUAACACCGUCCUGACGUUUUAUAAACGAAAAUUGUUAUCAAACAGAAAGUUGGCGUGCUUCACAAUUAAAAUUGGCAUCCUCCGAUAACUAAACUUGUCAUCAAAAAAUGUUGAAAUUGCUUCUUGCCAUACAUGUGACGUUUAUCAUGGUCCUUUAGUUUCAAGAAAAGUCAAAAUUGAUUCUACGUACCAACCGGUCAGCUUGGUUAAUUAGCUACCAACAAAAUUUGCAAUAAAAAUGAUUAUAAGAGGUUUAGAGCUAAAAUUGUAUUUUGGACCUGUGUGUUUAGCGCCUAUUGAAGGCAUAAAUCGAUGGAAUUUGGAUUUAAAAUUUUCGACGCAUUUUCUCACAAUUUGUUGUCUUUUGGUGGCCGGUGCAUGAAUAGUAGCACUGUAAAGUUUGACGGUACAUCAAUAAUAGAUAGACAAUAUUUUGAGUUGGAUAGAUAGGUACUUUCUCAAAGAGCAGUACUAACUAUCUUAGUAGCAAAGUGGCAUCUCUCCUAGUAUUUUCGGAUAAGUGCAUCGAUAUCUCCUAGUAACACACGUACGUACUACUUAGUUAUUACCAGUGUAUUCAUGUAGGCACACGUGGUCAGGUUCGAGUGGACGAUGAGUGGCUAGCGAGCUAAACAAGCUACCCAGCUAGUGCCAAAUAAGAGGGAAGAAAUGCAAUACGUGAUUGAUAGGACGAUGAUACGGACGGAUGGAUGGUGAUCGAUCAUCCCCGUACCCAUCAAAUAUCGUUUUCAGGUUAAAGCAGCAGCUAUUUCCAGAGAUCGAUAGCAAGACACGCAUGCACGUGUCGACAGGCCGGAAAGAUGGAAUCUAUUUUCAUGAUAUAUAUGCAUCAUUUGUUUAUUUAUUUGUGAAAGGGCAAAAUUCCAUAUAUAAAACAUCACAAAUCUUUAUAAAACAAUCUUACAAAAUUUAAAAAUACAUCUAAAUCUUUGGAGGUGCUGAAGUCUUCUUUCUCCUACACAUAUGAUGGCAUGCCUUAUUACCGUCUCUAGGACUUCGUCUCAGCGGAGUAUACUCUUUUUUGUUCGAAUUCAAUGGAGCUAACUUGGUGAAACGCAGGAACGAAACAAGUAUGUGCAUGUAAAAUUGAAACAUAAACACGACCAUUUGUGCUUGGUGCAAGAAGAGCAAAACGGCCAAGCAGCGGUGUGAGCUACAAGUGCGGAAACAAGCAACCAACAUGUUAUUUUUGCACUGCACCAGCAAAUGAUCAAGUUUCAGUUUCAAAAUUUGCAUGCACAUACUUUAUAUUCAUUCUCUACGCAUGCAUGAUUAUUAUGAACUUUUAAAAACUUACAUGAUGUGUUUUUCAGAACCAAAACUCACUAUAGAGAGUCCGACGCACCCAGUACCACAUUAGCACUUUCCAGGUGUAUAUGCUACAUCUGGUACUUCCCCCCGUUUUCUUGGUGUUGGAAACUUCAAACCUGACGAUCCAUCUAGUGGACUUGAUAAUUAAUGGUCAUGGAUAAUACAGUGAAAGCAUUUGUGGUGCCAUUUACUUGACUGCUACAUGCGGUAGCAGCCUCAUGAAGUCAUGAGUCUUGAUCGCCAUGGGUACGUACAGGCCAGCCACAAGAACAUGCAUUUUUGUCUUUCUCGUGACUCGAUCAAUCGAUCAAUCAUGCCCACAUAAUCGAAAUUUCUCUCCUCCGCCAAGUAAAUAAAAUUGUAUGUAUCGAUGGGGUUAACUGAAUUUCACAUAAUUGACCCGACCGAUCGAUCGAGGCAAAAGAGGGAGCGCAAAGUGAGCAACAUCAACAGCACGUGCCACUCGAUAGCUAGGUGCCAAACAGAAAGAAAGAUAGAAAGAAGUAAAACCGGCCAAGCAGGAGUUUUCCCUAUACGUGAAUGUGACCCGUUCAGUGCAUGCAUACAUAUGUAUAUUUAUUCCACUUUUGACCCGACCACAUCAAUCGUAUCUAAUCUCUUGUAGCACAAAGGGAUGACUCGGUUCCAAGUUGUGAUGUUUACUGUGUACCUCAAGUUGUUUGUCUAUUUCAUUGCUCUUCACUCUUAUACGACGCUAAGCACUUGAAUUUUUGAGAGACGUUAAAUUCAGCCAGUGCAACAGGAGCGUGCACCGGAAAUUUUCUUCUCCGCCCACUUCCUACGUUACGUACGCAUAGGUGGUCUUUGGUUGGGUUAUGGAUUUUGUGAAAUAAAUAGGUGGUCUUUUAGCAAACAUCUCAUACAAUAAUUGUAUUUUUGAACAGUUGUAAUUUUUAAUGACAAAACUGAAUAGUGAAACACAACUAGUGGCAUAAUGAUAAAAACCCGUUAAUGUGAGGAGCCAAAGGAAAAAAGAAGAAUGAAGUGGUAUGGGGAUCCUACUGGCAAUAUUUUGUACUACCUAGGACUACUAUUCCAUCAGCCACUCAUCAGAGUUCCUCUCAAAGAAACCAAAGAAAAAUGACUCCGGACAAAGUUGAUUUUUUUCUUUCAAAACAUCAUAUCACUGAAAGAAUAAUUAUGAGACAUCAAAACUUCAAACAUAGGGUUUGAUCCCUGAUGGGUUAUAGAUACCAUCAUUCUCUUAACCUAAUACUUUUUUUAAUGGAGGGAGCAUAUGACAUCCGGACGACUAUUAUUUUUCUGAGUUCUUAUUCGCGCACAAGCACACAAUCGACUCAGAAAAGUAAAUGAACUAGCUAGACGCAUACAUGGUACAUGCCACAUCUGGUGCUUUCGUCCCGCUUUCUUGGAGUGAAAAUUCCAAAGCAGACGAUCGAGUUAGCUAGUGAGCUUGGAUUUUGUGUGAUCGUCUAGUCUUGACUACUGGCAGCCUCUCUUAGUCUUGAUCACUACCUGCAGCCUGUCAAUAAACAUAUGCAUUUUGUUUCUCUCGUGACUCGCUCAGCCAAUCAUAUCCAUAUGAUUAAGGCGACUCUCUUCUUUCCGCGUGAAAACCAAUCGUGUCCAGGGUGUUGAUUAUAGUUGACGGGUUAAAGGAGGAACGUAAACAACAAGAACAACACGUGCUAGAUGCCCCGCUGCCAAUCAGAAAGAAAGAAGUAAAACCGGCCAUCAAAGCAGGAGUUUUCCCAAAGUGACUACUGUUCGGUGCAUGAAUAUAUUAUAUUACUACCUUUUCCCACUUUUGACCCGACCAAUCGUUCUAUCCAAUCCAUCCAAUCUCCUCAAGCACAAAGGGGGCGACGCUAUUCGAGGCUGCAGUAACGCUGUCAAAAUUCGAUUCUUUUACGACGCUAAUUAAGCACUUGAUUAUGGAGAUGCAUUAGUUUGGUCAGAGCAACACGAGAGCUACUGGUGCCCUAACGCACGACGCGGGCAUGCGCCUGAUCAAACUAGCACGGGCACACACAGUUUUCCUCACUUUAAUUUUACCGACCAUCAUGACAAAUAUCUUACUCGAGCAACUUCCUAAGACAAAAGCAAAAGCACACGUUGGAUUGGUAGUUAGCUCAAAUAACUGAUUAAUUAAGCACUUUCUUGUGCUGAAAGGAAAGUGAUGCCCCACAAGCUAUGCAAGAAUGUCAACCGUAGCUAGUGGCUAAUUAGCUGAGUUGCAUGUGUACGGAUAUGCCCUCGUCAGUUAUGAAUUAAUCAAGUGAUGGUGCAUGAAUGGCCUUAAGAGUUGACCAAUUACUCACCAAGUUGUUCUUGCUGCCACAAAGGGAGAACCUUUUUGACGAUUGGGAAAACUGUUUUUAGCUGCUACUCCCUUGCAUUUUAGUUGAUCUUUAAUUUAACUAAGUAAAUAAUAAGUUAUACUCUAGGUCAAAAUUAAAGUAUACCACACACUAGUAGAAAAAGGGCCUUUAGCCCCGGUUCGGUUGGGUCAUUAGUCCCGAUUCACGAACCGGGACUAAUGCUAGCCCCGGUUCGGCCCCGAACCGGGGCUAAUGUCCUUCCACGUGGCGGGGCUAGGAGCGAGGGGGGAGGGG
rnacentral:lncRNA from 1 species